rfam:Asian citrus Psyllid, Diaphorina citri - Florida Strain, whole genome shotgun sequence.
GCCUCGGUGGCGUAGUGGUCAAGACGCUCGCCUGGUAAACAGGUGGGCGUGGGUUCGAUCCCAGCCGAGGUA